UUAAAUUGAAGAGUUUGAUCAUGGCUCAGAUUGAAUGCUGGCGGCAGGCCUAACACAUGCAAGUCGAACGGUAACAGGAAACAGCUUGCUGUUUCGCUGACGAGUGGCGGACGGGUGAG
rnacentral:rRNA from 1 species